rnacentral:lncRNA from 1 species
AGCCUGCGUCUUGGCCUGCGGAGCAGAGCAGCCGGGUGGCUGCAGCUCGCACGCCGCCUGACAGGCCCCUCUCCAGAGGCUCCGUAUUAUUACAGUCUGCCCUUCUGCCGGCGUGGAAUUAACUUGUUCCGACUGUGUGACAGUUCUGACGACUACACAGUUUGAGGCAAGGAGCCGGGUCACAUGCUGCUACAUGCAUGGGCUGUCACUAACUGUGCGGCUGAAACCAGACAAACCCUUGUCAGGGGAGAUAAACUCCUCUGGAGACAGAGGGAGACACAAUCAACACUGGCAAGAGGAGAGAGGCAGGGAGAGAGAAACACAGCUGACGACCCGAGGACGCUGGAGGAGACGGGCUGCCAGAAGGUGGCCAAAGACGACAGCGUCCUCGCUCUCGAAAAAUCAGUGAACUCGUCAAAUCAUGCCUAUUCCAUGCUCCCAAGACCUCCAGCAAGAACGAAAGCCAUCAACCUUGGUUUUACUGAGUGGGUCUCUACUGCGUGCUUGACCCUGUGCCAGAGAGAGAGAGCAUGAGCAGGGGCAGAGGGAGAAGGCGAAGCAGACACUCCUGCCAAGCAAGCAGCCCAACAUGGAGCUCGAUCCCAGGACCCUGACAUCAUGACCUGAGCAGAAGGCAGGUGCUUAACUGACUGAGCCAAUCCAGGUGCCCUCUUUCCUCUCUUCUUGGCUGUGCCUGAAGCAAGGCCCUCCUGGUCCCCAGCUAAGAAUCAGCAAGACUGCCUAUCAUUCUAUGACAAGGGUGUACUCCUUAACCUACGCACCCAGACAAUUUGGUUUAUUCUUCUAUCUCCUCCAUCCCCUAUCCAGCUCCAAUGUACACAUGUGGUAGCAACAACCAUCCCUAAAGAGACACACCUUGGAGCUGUAAACAUUUAUUUACAACUGGGACCUUUAUUGGUCAUGUGAACUUAGCUUAUUUAAUCAGAAUUUCUGUUUCCUUAAGUGCAAGGAUUGAUGUAAAAAAGAAAAAGAGGAGUUGCAUGGAAGUGCCCAGCAUGGCAUCUGAUAUUUGGUAGAUAUACAUGCUGGUUUGUUUCAAUCCUCUGAUAGCAACACUGAAUACCUAGGUAAGGGUAAAUUUCUGUGUAACAGCUCUAAAUCCUUAACUUAGGACUGUCGGUUCUCUUUAUUUGUGGAUUCCAUAUACACGAACUCACCUACUCACUAAAACGUAUUGGUAACCCCCAAAUCAAUGCUGGUGGCACUUCUCUGGUCAUUCACAGAUAUACAGAGAGUAAAGAAAAAUUUGGAUCAUCCAACACACACAUUCCCAGUUGAGGCAGAACAAAGUGACCCCCUGUGUCUUCUUUCAGCCUUCACACUGUAAACAAGUAUCCUUUUCACCAUCUAUUUAGUGUAAUCUCUUUCACAUUUUUGAGGGGCUUUUUGGCAAUUUCAUGGUUUAAAAUGGUCUCCAAGUAAAAGAUAGUCUUUUCCAUAAGUGGUGCUAAGAAAAAUGGACAGCUACCUGCAAAAGAAUGAAACUGGAUUAUGUUCUUACACCAUACACAAGAAUUAACUCAAGAUGAAUUAAGGACUUAAAUGUAAGACCAGAAACCAUAAAACUCCCAGAAGAAAACACAGGCAGUAAGCUACUCGACAUUGAUGUAAUAAUUUUUUGGAUCUGUCUUCUUAGGUAAGAACAACAAAACCAAAAAUAAACAAACAAGACUAAAUCAAAUUAAAAAGCUUUUGCAUAAUGAGGGAAAUGAUCAACAAAACAAAGACAACCUACUAAAUGGGAAAAAAUGUUUGCAAAUGAUAUAACUGAUAAGUUAACAUCCAAAAUAUAUAAAGAACUCUGUGCACAGCUCAGUAUCAAACAAGCAACACAAUUAAAAAAUGGGAAGAGAACCCAAAUAGACAAUUCUCCAAAGAUGUACAGAUGGCCAACACAUGAAAAAACACUCAGAAUUACUAAUCAUCAGGGAAAUGCAUUGAAACCACAAUGAGAUAUCCCCUCACAUGUGUCAAAAUGGCUAUUAUCAAAAAGACAACAACAAAAGUUGGCAAGGACAUAGAGAAAAGGGAACCUUCAUGCACUGUUGCUGAGAACACAAAAUGAUGCAGCCACAAUGGAAACUCAUAUGGAGGGUCCUCAAAAAAUUAAAAAUAGAAUUGUCAUACAACCCAGCAAUUCUAUUUCUAGGUAUUCACCCAAAGAGAAGAAAGAUGCUAACUCAAAAAGACAUAUAUUCCCCUAUGCUCACUGCAACAUUAUUUACAAUAGCAAAGAUAUGAAAGCAACCUGUGUCCAUCCACAGAUAACGAACAUGUGGUUAUAUGUAUACAGUAUUACUCAGCCAUUAAAAAAAGAAUAAAACCUUGCUAUUUGCAAUAACGUGUAUGAUCUAGAGGGUAUUGUGCUAAGUGAAGUAAGUCAGAGAAGGACAUAUACCAUGUGAUUUCACUUACUUGUGGCAUCUAAAAAACAACAACAACAACAAACAGAUGCAGAUACAGAGGACAGUCUGGUGGUUGCUAGAGGGGGUGGGGGUGUGCAAAAUAGGGGAAAGGGAUCAACAGCCACAAUCCUGCAGUUGUAAAAUAAGUAAGACAUAGGACUCCUGGGUGGCUCAGUGGUUGAGCAUCUGCCUUUGGCUCAGGGUGUGAUCCUGGGGUCCUGGGAUCGAGUCCUACAUUGGGCUCCCCACAGGCAGCCUGCUUCUCCCUCUGCCUGUCUCUGCCUCUCUCUCUGUGUCUCUCAUGAAUAAAUAAAAUCUUAAAAAAAAUAAGACACAAGGAUAUAACAUAAUAUAUAAUAACUUAAUAUGUAAAAACUUUGUAUGGUGACAGAUAGUAGCUAGAUUUAUGGUGGUGACACUAAUACAUAUAAAUAUUUGAUCACUAUGUUAUACAACUGAAAUAGAAUAUUGUAUGUCAACUACACUUCAAUAAAAAAUUAAGUAAAUAAAAUGACCUCAAGCACAGUGCUGAAGUGCUUUCUAGUAUUCCUAAAUGCAAGAAAACUGUGACAUGCCUUAUAGAGAAAACACAUAUAUUAGAUAGGCUUUGUUCAGGCAUGAAUUAUUGUGCUGUUGGUCAUGCGUUCAAUCUUAACAAAUAAACAAUAUAUAUUAAAUAAGCUUUCUUUUUAAAAAUAUUGUAUUUAUUUAUUUGACAGAGAGAGUGUACAAGCAGGGGGUAGUGGUAGAGGGAGAGGGAGAAUCAGGCUGCCUGCUGAGCAGGGAACCCAAGGCAGGGCUUGAUCCCAGGACCCCAGGAUCAUGACCUGAGCCAAAGGCAGACACUUAACCAACUGAGCCACCCAGGUGCCCCUAAAUAGGCAUCUUUAACAGAAACCCAGACAAAAUAAAUGAUCAGUUCACAAAAAUGUGGAACAGAGUCUUACAGGAACCUAACUCUAUAUUUCCCUUAGAAGCCAACUCAGCUUUUGCUAAUUUAAUGUCUAAAGUAACUUUCUAUGCCAUAACUACCAAGAACAAAGAGAACUGACAUAUAUCCUUUCACAUUUAAUUUCCACCCCCAUUCUUUGAGGCAAAAGGGUAAUCAGAGGAUUGUUCACUGCAUUAAGAAAAAGGGGCAAACUUGAUAGGAAAAGUGAAGUAUCUUAGAGCAAAAAGGAGUUUGGCAGAGGAGAGAGAUGGAGGGCAAUGGGAAUAGACAUGAUCUGUCCACUGGAAAGUGAGGGACUUGGCUUCACCAAAGCAAAGGGUGAAUACUCAAACUCCUGGGGGCACUUCUAUUCCUUUGGGGUCCCUCAAUGUUACUCACAAGUCAUUAGAGAUGACUAGGUGUGUUCCAUCUAUGCUUCUUCCCUCAAAUCUCUUCUAACGAACUUAAGCACUUGUAGGGCACUUAUCUGUAAUUAGCAAGAUAGCAGGUGAUACCCUAAAUCUAUAAUGAAUUUCCAAAACCAGAAUCUGAUGACACAUCAAUAAGAUCACAUUUUUUCAUUUAGUCAACCUCUCAGCUAAUGCAGGGAAGAAGGAUAAAAAAUCUAGUGUGUCUCUAUCUGAACAUCAGCUCUUCUCUUGGACACCUCUCUUGGACAGUAUAGGUACUUAGACAAGUCUAAAUAAAAUUCUAUUAUUUCAGGAAAAUUUAGAAUCCAUGUUUUGGAGACAGGAAGAGAGGCAAGAUAGUCAUCUGGUUCAAUUCCUUCUAUUUCAAAUCAGAACUCUGAAGCUCUGAAGCUCUUCAGAACUCUGAAGCCCAAUGUGACAGAUUGGGGACCACAGCCUAUUGUUUCCAGUGCCCAAUUGAGUGGACUUUCCACAUUUAUAGUAAUUAUAUGUGCAGAUAU